GCAUUAAUGGGGUAGUGGUAACCUGGGUCGUUGCCAUUAUCGAAUUGGCGUGACUCUUCGACCCGCCGGGGGUUCGAUUCCCCCUUAAUGCA